UUACACAUUUCUUGAUGAAAAUAUUGAACAGAAAAAUUAUUAUUACGAUGAUUUGGAACGCGAAAAUGAACCUAGUGCAAGUUUAGUUUCCAAAACAGACGUAUACACGAUUAAAAGGGAAAACAGAGAUUCGUUGUAUGAAAAAAUCGGCAACACCUCUAGAAUACACAACACCUCACAACACACAAUUCCGAAACGGUUACGAGAAAUGAGUAAAUCUUCAGUCGAUAUUUACAACAAAUGCUUACAGACUGGUGUUGAAAGGCGAAAGAAGGUUCGAAUAGUUGUUGUGGGGCCAAAGCAGACUGGGAAAACUUGUCUUAUAAAAAGAUUAUUACGAAAAGGAAUUGAUGAUGUUGAACGUACAAGUGGUGUAGAAAUACACAUUUUGAAAUGCAAAGCUGAACUUCGAGACAGAAAAUGGAUCUGUCACGAAGAAUCUACGAUCCAAGAAAAUGUAAACUCUAGACUUCUGAGAACAAUUAUAGAAACCGCCAAAAAUAUAAAAGGAGUUGACGAGACAGAUGGGUUGGUUGGUCAGCAAGCUAAAAAGGCCAUAUAAGCAAAUUACAAUAAACAGAAAAUCUGCAUCGAACCUGACAAAUUUCAUCAAGCAUAUGAUAUACCUAAAUCUGCAGAUAUAAAAUCGAAUGUGACAGAAAACACUGGAUACAGUUACAACGAAGAUCUUCGUGACCUUAGUGAAAUUUUGAAGGCACCACUUGAUCUAGAAGACACCGUACAGAUUGAUUUCUUGGACUUUGCCGGUGAUCAAGAAUAUUAUAAUACGCACAAGGCCUUUCUGUCAAAAGAUGCAAUAUACAUUGUAACAUUCAAUGUUGCAGAAAAAGAAAAUGACAUCACUUCGGAUGAUGCAAGAUGUAAGCUCAUCUGAUUACUUUCAAUUACUUUAUUUAUGUAUCGUAUGCAAUAUUCUGACAUUAUUUUGUAUAAAAGAAUCUUAAGAGUA